rnacentral:rRNA from 1 species
CGGGGUGCACCAGGCGCGAAAACUUUACAAUGCCGGCAACGGCGAUAAGGGAACCUCGAGUGCCAGGUUACAAAUCUGGCUGUCGUGAUGCCUAAAAAGCAUUGCAUAGCAAGGGCCGGGCAAGACCGGUGCCAGCCGCCGCGGUAACACCGGCGGCUCGAGUGGUAACCGUUAUUAUUGGGUCUAAAGGGUCUGUAGCCGGCCGGGUAAGUCUCUUGGGAAAUCUGGCAGCUUAACUGUCAGGCUUUCAGGAGAUACUGCCUGGCUCGAGGCCGGGAGAGGUGAGAGGUACUUCAGGGGUAGGGGUGAAAUCUUGUAAUCCUUGAAGGACCACCAGUGGCGAAGGCGUCUCACCAGAACGGACCUGACGGCAAGGGACGAAAGCUAGGGGCACGAACCGGAUUAGAUACCCGGGUAGUCCUAGCCGUAAACGAUACUCGCUAGGUGUCGGCCACGGUGCGACCGUGUCGGUGCCGUAGGGAAGCCGUGAAGCGAGCCACCUGGGAAGUACGGCCGCAAGGCUGAAACUUAAAGGAAUUGGCGGGGGAGCAC